AGGGGUGUAACGCAGUCCGGUAGCGUAUCCCGAUCUAAAAUCGGGAGGGUCCAGGUUGGAAUCCUGGUACCCCGA
rnacentral:tRNA from 2 species